UCUGGUAAUGAUGGCAGAGAGGUCACACCCGUUCCCAUACCGAACACGGAAGUUAAGCUCUCUAGCGCCGAUGGUAGUUGGGACCUUGUCCCUGUGAGAGUCCAUUUAGGCCCACCAUAA
rnacentral:rRNA from 1 species